AUCAUUAUACUAUUUUCAAUCUAAUGUUUGGGACUUGUAUAGGCAACACAUCAUACAUAUUCUUAUCAACUUAGGUUGAUGAAAAACCUAGGUGAUAGUUUAGACUUUAUUUGUUACAGAAACUUUAUAAUGUCGCGUCUUGUAAUUAAAAGUAAUUGACGCAAGUAUAAAGUAAGUAAUUGUGUGAGGUUUCUAAAGUUUUAAAUGUUUGCUAAAAGUCACUUAAUGAUUUACUGUUACUGUUUUUAGUUCACACAAUGUAUUAUAUCAUGGUUUUCAAAACUGAAAUAUAAUAUAAUGUAGGUACCUCCGUACCUACAAGGAACUAGGAAGUCGAGCCAAUGUAUUGAACAAUUUUCAGAAGUUGAUUUUCUUUAAGACAAUUAUUCUACAGACCAAGUAUACAUUCAAAAGAUUGUAAAUUGUAAUUCAAGUUAUAAAAAUAUUAAUAUUAAAGUGAAUCCUGCAACUAGGGUAACAACAAGGUUAUGCAUUGCUGAAUGGUUCAAUUUUAAUAGCACGGAGGGCUUAAUAAUAUAUUUAAAUUUCAAAAAAACACAUAACAAGUCUGAAAAUUCAAUUGGAUGUGAUUAAUUUUGGGACAUUGCUGGUAACUUCAAUUACCACUUUAGGUUUUUUUGAGAAAAAACGUGUUUAUAAACAUACCAUAAGUUUAUAUUAUAUUAUUAUGUACACCAACUACAUUCAAACCUUCAUAACACAGAUUAUUGUAAAUUGUAAUUAUGUACUUUGAAUGUUGAGUAUACUCCAUUCAAAAUAAGUUGGAAAAAAAUCACGAUGAAAAUUUGUCGCAUUCGAGCAUGUGCAGUCUUGUUAGCGGCUGUUAACUACUGGCCAAUCAUAGGGGUGCUACUUUUCCGAGGCUGCACAGUUUCUCCAAAUUUAUUUGGAAUAGAUCAGCAAAAGAGGGUUCCAAGAUCCAGAUAAACUAGGACAUCAUUGUAUAACACUGACUACUCAAUUAUGUUUUCUUCAGUUCAUAAAUAUAUUUUGUCAUUAUCAGUUUCAGAUGGAUGAAAUCUACACAACUGUAUAGCAAUUUGAUAUUUUUUUAAAUUAAUUAUAAUUGUGAGAAAUGAAGUAUAAACAUUUAAUUAUUGUUAAGAUUGUUGAAACAAAUAAU